GUGAUAUUUAUCAGUGGAUUAGUCUACUGAUGAGUUGGGAGUGGGAUGUGAUGUUGGGAGGUGAAGCCUGGUGGGAGGACGUGGGUCACGAGGGCAUGGUCUGGAAAGAUCUAUCUCCCUUCUCUCUCCCUCUCUCCCUCUGCCCCUCCCCCCCCCUUGCGCUCUCUCUCUCUCUCUCUCCCUCCUUCCUGCUGCCUGGCCAUGAGCUCUUUCUCCUCUGCCAUGCUGCCCUGCCUUGGAGCCAGCUGACUAUGGACUGAAACCUCUACAAACUGUGAGUCAAAAGAAAACUUCCCUCCUUACAGUUACGGGUGCCAGGUAUUGUGCCACAGCACAGAAUGUCACUAAGACACCAUAGUAUGUCAGACUACUUUGCUUCUCAGACCACUGCAGGUUCUCUGCAAAAGAGAUAUGAUGCUGAAAUGAUAACAGGAAGUGAAAGUCAACAACAUUCGUGUCAGUGUGUCUCACUCUGCUCUCUGAGUCCUGGAGUCUCAUUGGCUAGCCUCAGUGGAAUCAUGAUGAGGUACAAUGGUCCUCGGAAUCCGUGAACCUGGCAACCACCGUCCUUGGUAGCAUCCUAACUCUGGACACCAGAGCCCUGCUACUCCUGUUUCUGGACUGAAUAAGAGAAAAGGUUUUACUGGAACAUUGGCGGGAAGAUAGAAAAGGAAGCCAGCUUAGGUUGUUGGAGCCAAGUCAUCUGUCGCCCUCCGUGGAGCUGAGGAAACAUGGAUAAAGGCCACUCUGAGACAAAUAGGAAGGCACAGCAGCGAUGUGCACCUGGCCGAGUGGUUGUGGAUGGUGACCCCAUCAACAGCCCCAGAGUGGAGAUGGCCUUGGCCAAGACACCAAGGAAGGCACGCCCCUGCGUGCCCUGAGGGUGAAGAGCAAUCCCAGAAAACAGGUUAAAUCAACAAAACCUGCCCCUGUGAGAGUAUUAAAGUGGAA
ensembl:lncRNA